CAACAGCAGAAAUUUGUCCAAACAGCUGAAGACACUGCUAAAUACAUUUGUAAAAUCAGACAAACGUCACCUCAAGAAUACGGGAAAUUUAUAAAAUGUUUUGCUUCCGCUCUCUACGCUUUCAGUUUUGACAAUCCGAGAACCUAUCCCACUUACACUCGGUGCUUUGAACAAGUAGAAAAAAGACAACAGAAAUCGAUUUCUUCACUUUCCUCAUUUCAUUCUUUACUUCAUUAAAAAAA